rnacentral:tRNA from 1 species
GUCCAGGGGCGGGAAUCGAACCCACAACGUUCCGCUUACCGGGCAGAUGCCAUAUCCACUAGGCUACCCUGGA